CCCUUAGAUGUCCUGGGCUGCACGCGCGCUACACUGGAAGUUACGGAUUGAGAUACUACCUUGUCCGAAAUGGUCCGGGUAAUCACCUAAAAGCUUGUCAUAAUUGGAAUGGAUUAUUGUAACUAGUAAUCCUGAACGAGGAAUUCCUAGUAAGUCCCAGUCAACAGCUGGUACUGAUUACGUCCCUGCCCUUUGUACACACCGCCCGUCGCUACUACUGAUUGGACGUUUAAGCAAGAUUUUUAAACACUGACAGUGUAUAGUUCACGCUAUACUACAGUGAGAAGAAGAAGAUCGAGCUUACUUGUCUAGAGGAAGUAAAAGUCGUAACA
rnacentral:rRNA from 1 species